GAUGAACGCUGGCGGCGUGCCUAAUACAUGCAAGUCGAGCGAACAGACGAGGAGCUUGCUCCUCUGACGUUAGCGGCGGACGGGUGAGUAACACGUGGAUAACCUACCUAUAAGACUGGGAUAACUUCGGGAAACCGGAGCUAAUACCGGAUAAUAUAUUGAACUGCAUGGUUCAAUAGUGAAAGACGGUUUUGCUGUCACUUAUAGCUGGAUCCGCGCCGCAUUAGCUAGUUGGUAAGGUAACGGCUUACCAAGGCAACGAUGCGUAGCCGACCUGAGAGGGUGAACGGCCACACGGUAACUGAGACACGGUCCAGACUCCUACGGGAGGCAGCAGUAGGGAAUCUUCCGCAAUGGGCGAAAGCCUAACGUAGCAACGCCGCGUGAGUGAUGAAGGUCUUCGGAUCGGAAAACUCUGUUAUUAGGGAAGAACAAAUGUGUAAGUAACUAUGCACGUCUUGACGGUACCUAAUCAGAAAGCCACGGCUAACUACGUG
rnacentral:rRNA from 1 species